rnacentral:rRNA from 1 species
GAUGAACGCUGGCGGCGUGCCUAAUACAUGCAAGUCGAGCGAACAGACGAGGAGCUUGCUCCUUUGACGUUAGCGGCGGACGGGUGAGUAACACGUGGAUAACCUACCUAUAAGACUGGGAUAACUUCGGGAAACCGGAGCUAAUACCGGAUAACAUGUUGAACCGCAUGGUUCAACAGUGAAAGACGGUCUUGCUGUCACUUAUAGAUGGAUCCGCGCCGCAUUAGCUAGUUGGUAAGGUAACGGCUUACCAAGGCAACGAUGCGUAGCCGACCUGAGAGGGUGAUCGGCCACACUGGAACUGAGACACGGUCCAGACUCUUACGGGAGGCAGCAGUAGGGAAUCUUCCGCAAUGGGCGAAAGCCUGACGGAGCAACGCCGCGUGAGUGAAGAAGGUCUUCGGAUCGUAAAACUCUGUUAUUAGGGAAGAACAAAUGUGUAAGUAACUAUGCACGUCUUGACGGUACCUAAUCAGAAAGCCACGGCUAACUACGUG